rnacentral:hammerhead_ribozyme from 1 species
GUUCUACUGAAGAGUCUCAAACUAGGACGAAACAGUCGUCCAGUAC